GCCAGAGCAUAUUCGCAAUUUGGGGAAGAUAUCCAGGCCUCUUCAUGACAAGAGGUAGAAAUUCAAUGGCCUGCAGCCUUGACAGAUACUGGAGUUUUAAAAACGUUUACAUGGAUGCGUGAGUACACACAGUCACACAAACACGGGCAUUCUUCUCUUCUCAUUUCCGGGGAACUGGAUCGAUCCAGCAGAGCAAGACAGAUGAACCAUUAAUGCAGAGAGGAAACAGUUCCAACAACAGAAGUGAAAAACAUCAAGACCUGAACCAGGGCAGUGGCCGAGUGAACUCAAAAGAAAGAAGGGAGGAAAGAAGACUUGGAUGUGAGCCAGAUGGAGGAGAACUGAAGAAGUCUGUCAGCAAGCCCUCAGGAUCAGGCGAGUAGACAUGACCAGGAGCCUAGACCAGCAAUGACCCUGGAGUGAUGGAUCCAGUUCUUAUGAGAAAGGAUAUGGUACCCAAGAGGUGGGGAGGCAGGUAGCAGGCCAAGCAAGAGGCUACAAUCCUUCAUUGAUGAACUCCAGAGAAUCCAAGGGCUAAAACUCAGGGUGGAGCUUAUGACAUUCACAAAUGCAGGAGAGAAGGUAAGAAUUCAAUGUUAGUUAAGUUCGUCAUGUCAGUAAGCCAAUAGAUACUCUCCAGGUUUUAUGAAUUAAGGUGUGUUUAUCACAGUGUCGUUUAAUCGUAA
rnacentral:lncRNA from 10 species